UAAUUAAUUUAACUGAAGAAAGAUUUAUCGCUUUGAGAUGGGCUUGCGUCCUAUCAGGUAGUUGGUAAGGUAAUUGCUUACCAAGCCUAAGACGGGUAGCUGGAGUGAGAGCUUGACCAGCCAGAGGGGGACUGAGACACGGCCCCCACUCCUACGGGAGGCAGCAGCAGGGAAUCUUGCACAAUGGGCGAAAGCCUGAUGCAGCGACGCCGCGUGAGGGAUGAAGGUUCUAGGAUCGUAAACCUCUUUUCUUAGGGAAUAGUUUGGAAGGUACCUAAGGAAUAAGUCACGGCUAACUACGUGCCAGCAGCCGCGGUAAUACGUAGGUGGCAAAUGUUGUCCGGAAUCAUUGGGCGUAAAGGGUCCGUAGGUGGCAUGAAUAGUCUUAUGUGAAAUCUCUUGGCUCAACCAAGAAACGCCAUAAGAAACUUUCAUGCUAGAGAUCAUCAGAGGGAGGUAGAAUUCCAGGUGUAGUGGUGAAAUGCGUAGAUAUCUGGAGGAAUACCAAUGGCGAAAGCAGCCUCCUGGGGUGAAUCUGACAUUGAGGGACGAAAGCGUGGGUAGCAAACCGGAUUAGAUACCCGGGUAGUCCAUGCCGUAAACGAUGAAUACUGGGUCUUCGGGGAAUCGACCCCCUGUGGACCGAAGCUAACGCGUUAAGUAUUCCGCCUGGGGAGUACGGUCGCAAGACUAAAACUCAAAGGAAUUGACGGGGGCCCGCACAAGCAGCGGAGCGUGU
rnacentral:rRNA from 1 species